GAUGAACGCUGGCGGCGUGCCUAAUACAUGCAGGUCGAGCGAACAGAUGAGGAGCUUGCUCCUCUGACGUUAGCGGCGGACGGGUGAGUAACACGUGGAUAACCUACCUAUAAGACUGGGAUAACUUCGGGAAACCGGAGCUAAUACCGGAUAAUAUAUUGAGCCGCAUGGUUCAAUAGUGAAAGACGGUUUUGCUGUCACUUAUAGAUGGAUCCGCGCCGCAUUAGCUAGUUGGUAAGGUAACGGCUUACCAAGGCAACGAUGCGUAGCCGACCUGAGAGGGUGAUCGGCCACACUGGAACUGAGACACGGUCCAGACUCCUACGGGAGGCAGCAGUAGGGAAUCUUCUGCAAUGGGCGAAAGCCUGACGGAGCAACGCCGCGUGAGUGAUGAAGGUCUUCGGAUCGUAAAACUCUGUUAUUAGGGAAGAACAAAUGUGUAAGUAACUAUGCACGUCUUGACGGUACCUAAUCAGAAAGCCACGGCUAACUACGUG
rnacentral:rRNA from 1 species